AUCCAGUUGACGAGUCCCAAAUAGGGCGAAACGCACGUUUUGGAU
rnacentral:hammerhead_ribozyme from 1 species